UACAUAGGUCCCAAGCGUUGUUCGGAUUCACUGGGCGUAAAGGGUGCGCAGGCGGUUUUGUAAGUCAGAUGUGAAAUCCCCGGGCUUAACCUGGGAAUGGCAUUUGGGACUGCAAGGCUCGAGUGCGGCAGAGGAGACUGGAAUUCCUGGUGUAGCAGUGAAAUGCGUAGAUAUCAGGAGGAACACCGAUGGCGAAGGCAGGUCUCUGGGCUGUCACUGACGCUCAUGCACGAAAGCGUGGGGAGCAAACAGG
rnacentral:rRNA from 1 species